rnacentral:rRNA from 1 species
UACGGAGGAUGCGAGCGUUAUCCGGAGGGGGUGGGUUUAAAGGGUGCGUAGGCUGUUAUAUAAGUCAGCGGUGAAAUAUUCGGGCUUAACCGGGAUACUGCCGUUGAUACUGUAUAGCUGGAAUAUGGUUGCUGUGGGUGGAAUGUGUGGUGUAGCGGUGAAAUGCAUAGAUAUCACACAGAAUAUCGAUUGCGAAGGCAACUCACAAAGCCAUUAUUGACGCUGAUGCACGAAAGUGUGGGGAU